GCUAGUGUGGUAUAGUGGUUUCAGUGUUGGACUAUGACUCUGGAGACCAGAAUUCAAUUCCCUGCUCUGACA
rnacentral:tRNA from 1 species